CCUACGGGAGGCAGCAGUAGGGAAUCUUCCACAAUGGACGAAAGUCUGAUGGAGCAACGCCGCGUGAGUGAAGAAGGUUUUCGGAUCGUAAAACUCUGUUGUUGGAGAAGAACACGUUUGAGAGUAACUGUUCAGACGUUGACGGUAUCCAACCAGAAAGCCACGGCUAACUACGUGCCAGCAGCCGCGGUAAU
rnacentral:rRNA from 1 species